rnacentral:rRNA from 1 species
CAAUAGCGUAUAUUAAAGUUGUUGCGGUUAAAAGCUCGUAGUUGGAUUUCUGUUGAGAACAGCCGGUCCACCUCUUGGGUGAGUAUCUGGUUUGGUCUCGGCAUCCUAUCGUAGAACGUUUCUGCGCUUCAUUGCGUGGUACGCACUGCGAUACUUUUACUUUGAGGAAAUUAGAGUGUUCACGGCAGGCAUUCGCCAUUGAAUAUAUUAGCAUGGAAUAAUAAUAUAGGAUCUUGGUUCUAUUUUGUUGGUUUCUAGAGCUAAGAUAAUGAUUAAUAGGGACAAUUGGGGGCAUUCGUAUUAAUGCGUCAGAGGUGAAAUUCUUGGAUUGCAUUACGACGAACUACUGCGAAAGCAUUUGCCAAGGAUGUUUUCAUUGAUCAAGAACGAAAGUAAGGGGAUCGAAGACGAUCAGAUACCAU